CAGAUUGGGCUCCCGGCUGGAAAGGCGGCCCGUGGCGGUGCCGGUCUGCACAAAGUUGGUGUGGAGCCGCCCGUUCGAAUCGGCCUGAUCCGCC
rnacentral:tRNA from 1 species